CGAGGGAAAAAAAGGCCACCGAACCGCGCUACGUGUGAGGUGCAGCACACCACGCGAAGAGAAAAGCGACGCGUGGGGUGGAUAGCGCGGUGCGCGGUGAAAACCCUAGCCCAAUCCCUCGCUUCUUCCAGCCCCCAAUCCCUCCACUCAUCGAGCCCCUCGUCCCCUCGUCCAGGCACUCCACCACCCACACCAUGCCACCUCCUCCCCUUCGUGUUUCUCCUCCUCCCAUUUAGGCUCCGUGGUGGCGGCCGACUCGAGGCAGGGGAGCAGCUGAUGCGGCAUCGGCGGCGGCACGAGAGGAGCGGCGGCGGAGGGGAGCUGCGAAGAGGUGCCGCUCGGGCGCGAGACGGCAGAGGCGGGCGCGGCUGCUCUGGUCCCCGAUCUGGGGAGGGUACGAGGCGAAGAAGGGCGCCGCCAUCGUUGUCGCCGUUGCAGACAGUUAGCUAUAUGGCGGAGCGCGUUCUGGGCACUUCAUUUGGCAUCGUCUUUCAGGCUAAAUGCUUGGAAACUAGGGAGACAGUGGCCAUUAAGAAGGUACUGCAGGACCGACCGUACAAGAACCGGGAGCUGCAGCUUAUGCGUUUGAUUAACCAUUUCAAGGUUGUUCUCCCUCAAGUACUGCUUCUUCUCAACCACAAGUAGAGAUGAGCUGUUUCUGAACCUUGUCAUGGAGUAUGUCCUGGAGACAAUCUAUCGCAUGCUUAAGAACUACAGUACUGCCAAACAGGGGAUGUCACUUAUCUAUGUCAAGAUUUACACCUAUCAGGUUUGUGAAUUGCCAGUGAAUAAAUGUGAAAUGUGUGCCUGCCAUUGUGCAACUAUUCUAGAACAUUGGUGGCGGCUAUUCAGGGGGCUCACACACAUUCAUACUGUUUCUGGAGUCUGUCACAAGGAUGUGAAGCCACAAAAUGUUUUGGUAUGUAUUAGUGAAUACUUUCUGUGUGCAUCACUUAUGAAGAGGCCAGGGUCAUCCCCUUUCUGAAGAAAAUGUAUCAGUGAACACUGAACAUAUUUACUCGAUUAUCAUGUAUGGGUUUUCAUGCUUGCUUUUGAACUUGUCUUCACUUGCUUCCUUAUACAGUUGGGCAGGGCCUUUGGAUGGGAAUCAUCUUCAGUAUUCUUGUUCAGGUCUUGCUGUUCGUAGCCAUCACACUGCGCACCAUCAGGCAAAAUAAGGCAACAAAGGCGUACAAGUAUAUCGCAAGGUCAAUGCUAUAUGUGUAUGUAUGUAUGUAUGGAUAUGUGCUACUGAAGUGAGAUUCCGAGAAAAUCCGCAUACAAGUAUAUCGCAAGGUCAAUGCUAUAUAUUCUUAGAUGAAAAUUACACUAGGUUGGCUUUUAAUAUACUUGGAGCAUCGAUACUUCCGGACCAGUGAACCGCCGGACCAAUGCUGGUGCUCAUGGAGUUAGUUAGCAACUUUUUUCUGGUCAGCAAACUCCAACUUUAUUAACCCACUACAGGAGAGCAGAGAUCUAAGAAAGAACAGAAGAAGAAGAAUCCUGCGGAAGAUUUUGGUGAAGAACAAGGUGGAUUAUCUCUCUCUAACAAAGUCACGUUUGUUCCUCAUUUUGAUGUUAUGAUUUAUUUUAUUUUGCUUAUAUUCCAGUGACCUAUUUUCUAUAUAGAAUGCAUCUUUUCUUCGAAAGAGAGAGAGAAUUGGGGGAUAGUGGCAUUGGGACUUAAAUUCGUUGCCUACAACAAAAUAAAUGAUUCCUGUAUGCCUCCCUUUUUGUUUUAGCUCACAUAUUUUUUUAAAGUUUGGUAGAUAUCACAUAAUCAUGGCCGCAACUAAUAUCCAAAAUUCUUAGUGUCAGUACACUAAGAUUUAUCUUAUUUUGGUAUCAAGAACUAUCUAUGCUCAAUAUGGUGUCUGCGGGUAUUCUCGCGCCCGCCUCUUUCCCCUCUCUAUAUGAACCCUAUCAUCAGCUUCAAAAUGUUUCUAGAAAAUUCACACAUAUCGAUGGUUCAUAUUUAUGACUUUGCAAGCUCACAGAAUAAUCAAUCAUUGAUGAGAGUGAUUUUUUUAAUAUUCGGAAGCAUGAGGAAACUUGUUUCAUUUCUGUGGCCUGUGCGACAGAAAAAUAGAGCAGAUGAAGCUGCUUUUUAGCUCGUUCUUGUCGUUUUGGUGCAGAUGGCAAAUCAAAUGAUGUCUCUUCACAAAACAUUGAAGAUACUAGUGCACUCUGAAAUGUACAUGUAAGAUUUGUUUUGAAUUUUCUGAAGCUUCAAACACACACUUAAAAAGGGAGGACAUUGUGUUCGGUAUUAAAAGAAAAUGUCUAUGUUGUAGAGGUUUUACUGGGUAAAUGUAGGUGGAAUAAGGAAUGACUGUAAUGCAUGCACUACAAAAGAUGGGUUCUUACGACUGUCCAACAUGGACAGUUGCACCAGCAAAUAAGUUGUCCGACUCAGUUUUCUCUCCAGUAGAAUCAACCUGUUAUGCAGAAGUGACACCCUGUGAAUUUUUUUCAUUGAAUCCUAUGAUGGUGGUUACAAUUAGAUAUACUCCCUCCGUGCACUUUUAUAAGACGUUUCAGCCAGCUAACAUGAACUGUUUUGGGUGAUGUCUGAAUUGGCUACAACAUCUUAUAAAUGAACUGAGCGACUACCUUUUCCCUGUCUUGGUAAAGGUGCCAGGAAAGUUCUUCUGUAUGAGAUGUAACUUUCUCACUGGUUAAUUUCUAUUCUAGGUGGCAUGCAUAAUCAUGAUUUUCUGUGCAAACUUGUUUCACGGCAACCCCCACAAAAGUAUUUGUAAUUUACUACAUAUGUCUACAGGUGGCAUCAAGCUUCUGUAUUAAAUCUAUUUUUCAUAUCCCAGUUUUUCUUCUUCUCAUGAACAAGUUAUUUACAAACGGGGUCCUUUUCAUUAUUUAAUUUUCUAAUAUAAUUGAGUCCAUCUCCACACAAGUAUUAAUAUUUCAUUUCUCCCCUGUGUCAAUGAAAGGAAGUAGCUCCCUUCCCUUCUACACUUGUUGUGAUGCCUCUCGAUGAGGUAUUCCUGCUGCUGGUUUCCUCUUUCAAAUUCUCUUUCAGUCUUUUAAUUCCUUUGCUGUUUCUUUGGCAGAUGAACACUCCUAUAUCUGCAUUCAAAGGAAAAGGACAGGCUAUUGUGCCUAAAACUCCUAGCAAAUCACCGUGCCCAAAAAGUACUCGCCGCAAACUCUGUCUUGGACCCUCUAAAUCUAAGGACACUGAACUUUCUACCUCUACUACCAAGGUGGCUAGCCAAACUGAAGAGGUUGCCGCUGCCGGAAAUGUUGUUCAGCCUGCACCCAUGCCAGAUGUUGGACAGGAAACUAAAGGUGCAGUUGCUGAGGAUCCAAAGAACACCCUUCCUGACCCCUCUAAGCCCAAGAGAACAACCAAUACCGGCAAGGGGGCUGACAUACCUAAGAAAGCGAAGCAGUAGUUCUUCCAUGGCGUAAUCUAUAUAUGUACAUACGAUUUGAGGAUCCCGAAGACUCGGUCAUCCUUCUAUGAUGGUGAGCCUAUGCCAUGAAAGAUGGACGACAAGCCUACAUCAUCAACAACUCCAUCAUCACCACCUUCGAAGAAGGAGACAUAAACACAUGGGUAUGGUCACUCCCCUUGGCAACUGCCAAGCUUGGGGGAGGUGCCCCGAUAUCGUAUCACCAUCACACUCCUAUCUUUACUGUUUUUCUUAGUUUGAUUCUUUUGGUAAUAUCUUGAUCUAGUAGAAUAAAGUUUUAGUAUGAUCUAGUUUGGAGCUUUGCUUUAUGAUCCUUCUAUGUAAUCGAGUCCGUGAGCUAUAUAUAAUAAAGAUUAGUGUUGAGUCAA